rnacentral:rRNA from 1 species
AGCAGCCGCGGUAAUUCCAGCUCCAAUAGCGUAUAUUAAAGUUGUUGCAGUUAAAAAGCUCGUAGUUGAAUUUCGGGAUUCGUCGGUUGGUCGGGCUUCACUGUCCGCACUGACCUGACGGAUUCCUACCUUCUGAAUAACCAGCAUGCUAUUCAGUUAGUGCGUUGGGGAAGCAGAGCUAUUACCUUGAAAAAAUUAGAGUGCUUAAAGCAGGCUUGUGCUUGAAUAGAUUAGCAUGGAAUAAUAAAAUAGGACGGCAUGGUUCUAUUUUGUUGGUUUCUAGGAUCACCGUAAUGAUUAAUAGGGAUAGUUGGGGGCAUUAGUAUUCAAUUGUCAGAGGUGAAAUUCUUGGAUUUAUUGAAGACUAACUUCUGCGAAAGCAUUUGCCAAGGAUGUUUUCAUUAAUCAAGAACGAAAGUUAGGGGAUCGAAGACGAUCAGAUACCGUCGUAGUCUUAACCAUAAACUAUGCCGACUAGGGAUCGGACGAUGUUAAUUUUUUAAUGACUCG